rnacentral:rRNA from 1 species
UACGUAGGGGGCAAGCGUUGUCCGGAAUUAUUGGGCGUAAAGCGCGCGCAGGCGGCCUUUUAAGUCUGAUGUGAAAUCUUGCGGCUCAACCGCAAGCGGCCAUUGGAAACUGGGAGGCUUGAGUACAGAAGAGGAGAGUGGAAUUCCACGUGUAGCGGUGAAAUGCGUAGAGAUGUGGAGGAACACCAGUGGCGAAGGCGACUCUUUGGCCUGUAACUGACGCUGAGGCGCGAAAGCGUGGGGAGCAAACAGG